UGGGUGCGCAGGCGCGAAAACUCCCAAUGCUCCUGAAGUACGAUGGGGUUAUCUCGAGUGCAGUCCGAUAAGGGCUGCUUUUCCAUAGAGUAAUAUCCUGUGGGAAUAAGAGGGGGGCAAGACUGGUGUCAGCCGCCGCGGUAACACCAGCCCCUCGAGUGGUGGGGACUAUUAUUUGGCCUAAAGCGUCCGUAGCUGGCUGUAUCCGUCCCCCGUUAAAUCCAGCGUCCUAAGCGUUGGACUGCGGGUGAUACCAUACAGCUAGAGGGUGGGAUAGGUGAGCGGUAUUUCUGGGGUAGGGGCGAAAUCCUUUGAUCCCAGGAGGACCACCAGUGGCGAAGGCUGCUCACUAGAACACGCCUGACGGUCAGGGACGAAAGCUGGGGCAGCGAACCGGAUUAGAUACCCGGGUAGUCCCAGCUGUAAACGAUGCUAGCUAGGUGUUGGGUCGGCCACGUGCCGCCCCAGUGCCGCACGGAAGCCGUUAAGCUAGCCGCCUGGGGAGUACGGCCG
rnacentral:rRNA from 1 species